UGGGGAAUAUUGCACAAUGGGCGCAAGCCUGAUGCAGCCAUGCCGCGUGUAUGAAGAAGGCCUUCGGGUUGUAAAGUACUUUCAGCGAGGAGGAAGGCAUUGUGGUUAAUAACCACAGUGAUUGACGUUACUCGCAGAAGAAGCACCGGCUAACUCCGUGCCAGCAGCCGCGGUAAUACGGAGGGUGCAAGCGUUAAUCGGAAUUACUGGGCGUAAAGCGCACGCAGGCGGUUGAUUAAGUCAGAUGUGAAAUCCCGACGCUUAACUUGGGAACUGCAUUUGAAACUGGUCAGCUAGAGUCUUGUAGAGGGG
rnacentral:rRNA from 1 species